CGCUGGCGGCGUGCCUAACACAUGCAAGUCGAGCGGAGUUAACAAGAGGAAGUUUCGGAUGGAAUUUUGUUAAUUAGCGGCGGACGGGUGAGUAACGCGUGAGCGACCAACCUUGCACAGGGGGAUAACGGACCGAAAGGUUCACUAAUACCGCAUGAGACCACGGUGUUGCAUGACACAGAGGUCAAAGGAGCAAUCCGGUGCAAGACGGGCUCGCGUCCGAUUAGGUAGUUGGUGGGGUAAUGGCCCACCAAGCCUAUGAUCGGUAGCCGACCUGAGAGGGUGAUCGGCCACAUUGGAACUGAGAUACGGUCCAAACUCCUACGGGAGGCAGCAGUGGGGAAUAUUGGGGCCAAUGGGGGAAACCCUGACCCAGCAACGCCGCGUGAAGGAAGAAGGUUUUCGGAUUGUAAACUUCUGUCCUUGGUGAAGAGAAGAAGACGGUAGCCAAGGAGGAAGCCCCGGCUAACUACGUGCCAGCCGCCGC
rnacentral:rRNA from 1 species